CAGAUGUUGCACACUAAAGAAUCAGGGAUGCAGGUCGAGGCCUUUUCAAGGGGAAUUAACAACCUCACAGACUCCAAAGAGGAGAAGAAAACUCAGACCACAGGUUCACUCUCAACCAAUACCAAAGAAAGAAUAAUAUUGUUUAUAAGGGAAACCACACUUUGAACUAGACCGGCUGGACUGAUGCAAACAGAUCUCCAGUAAGCCAAAACCAGCAUUUUCAGAACCUUAUGGGCUAAACCCAACCUCACCAGACCUCAUCCAGAACAAAGGAGUGUCUGCUUUUCAGGGAACCGAAGAACAAGUUCCACCCAAGUCCUUCAACCCUGAGUGACAUCUUUCUGAUGACCUACUUCAUCCUGCACAGCAGCAAUCUUACCGACAUGUUCAACUGCACGGCAAUGACCCCAGAACAGAAGAUCCGGCUGGGUGCCCACUGGGUCUGGGAUCAGCCGAGCAAGAACCCCCAAAUCCAGAUGGUGGCCCAGGUUCUCUUAUAAUGCCUCUCUGUGCAGUGGUCACUGGUCUAUUAAAACGCACCACAUAUUAAAGUUUCUUUGGAGUUUCCAUAUGUUUUAUUCAAAACAAAACUUGAAAUCGAGGGAUUGUGAGGUCAUUGGCAGGCGACACAUUGACACUCUGGACACGGUCA